rnacentral:rRNA from 1 species
AUCGUGGCUCAGCCGCCGCCGUAACACAUGCAAGUCGAACGAGACCUUCGGGUCUAGUGGCGCACGGGUGCGUAACGCGUGGGAAUCUGCCCUUGGGUUCGGAAUAACAGUUGGAAACGACUGCUAAUACCGGAUGAUGUCUUCGGACCAAAGAUUUAUCGCCCAGGGAUGAGCCCGCGUAGGAUUAGCUUGUUGGUGAGGUAAAGGCUCACCAAGGCGACGAUCCUUAGCUGGUCUGAGAGGAUGAUCAGCCACACUGGGACUGAGACACGGACCAGACUCCUACGGGAGGCAGCAGUGGGGAAUAUUGGACAAUGGGCGAAAGCCUGAUCCAGCAAUGCCGCGUGAGUGAUGAAGGCCUUAGGGUUGUAAAGCUCUUUUACCCGGGAUGAUAAUGACAGUACCGGGAGAAUAAGCCCCGGCUAACUCCGUGCCAGCAGCCGCGGUAAUAC